rnacentral:rRNA from 1 species
GCGGCGUGCCUAAUACAUGCAAGUCGAACGCUGCUUAAAAAGAAACUUCGGUUUUUUCUUAAGCGGAGUGGCGGACGGGUGAGUAACACGUGGGGAACCUAUCCAUCAGCGGGGGAUAACACUUGGAAACAGGUGCUAAUACCGCAUAUGGCUUUUUUUCACCUGAAAAAAAGCUCAAAGGCGCUUUACAGCGUCACUGAUGGCUGGUCCCGCGGUGCAUUACCCANUUGGUGAGGUAACGGCUCACCAAAGCAACGAUGCAUACCCGACCUGANAGGGUGAUCGGCCACACUGGGACUGAAACACGGCCCAAACUCCUACGGGAGGCANCNGUAGGGAAUCUUCGGCAAUGGACGCAAGUCUGACCGAGCAACGCCGCGUGAGUGAAGAAGGUUUUCGGAUCGUAAAGCUCUGUUGUCAGCAAAGAACAGGAGAAAGAGGAAAUGCUUUUUCUAUGACGGUAGCUGACCANAAAGCCACGGCUANCUACGUGCCAGCAGCCGCGGUAAUACGUAGGUGGCAAGCGUUGUCCGGAUUUAUUGGGCGUAAAGCGAGCGCAGGCGGUGAUUUAAGUCUGAUGUGAAAGCCCCCANCUCAACUGGGGAGGGUCAUUGGAAACUGGAUCACUUGAGUGCANAANAGGANAGUGGAAUUCCAUGUGUAGCGGUGAAAUGCGUAGAUAUAUGGAGGAACACCAGUGGCGAAGGCGGCUCUCUGGUCUGUAACUGACGCUGAGGCUCGAAAGCGUGGGUAGCAAACAGGAUUAGAUACCCUGGUAGUCCACGCCGUAAACGAUGAGUGCUAAGUGUUGGAAGGUUUCCGCCCUUCAGUGCUGCAGUUAACGCAUUAAGCACUCCGCCUGGGGAGUACGACCGCAAGGUUGAAACUCAAAGGAAUUGACGGGGGCCCGCACAAGCGGUGGAGCAUGUGGUUUAAUUCGAAGCAACGCGAAGAACCUUACCAGGUCUUGACAUCCUUUGACCGCCCUAGAGAUAGGGUUUCCCCUUCGGGGGCAAAGUGACAGGUGGUGCAUGGUUGUCGUCAGCUCGUGUCGUGAGAUGUUGGGUUAAGUCCCGUAACGAGCGCAACCCUUAUUGUUAGUUGCCAGCAUUGAGUUGGGCACUCUAGCAAGACUGCCGGUGACAAACCGGAGG